rnacentral:pre_miRNA from 1 species
UUGGGUUGGUUUGGUCUCGGGUUGAUUUUUUUUAAUUAAAACCAAAUCAACCCAAAU